AACGAACGCUGGCGGCAGGCCUAACACAUGCAAGUCGAACGAAGGCCCGGAGCUUGCUCCGGAUACCUUAGUGGCGGACGGGUGAGUAACACGUGGGAACCUACCUAGCAGUACGGAAUAACUGUGGGAAACUGCAGCUAAUACCGUAUACGCCCUACGGGGGAAAGAUUUAUCGCUGUUGGAUGGGCCCGCGUCUGAUUAGCUUGUUGGUAAGGUAAAAGCUUACCAAGGCUACGAUCAGUAGCUGGUCUGAGAGGAUGAUCAGCCACACUGGGACUGAGACACGGCCCAG
rnacentral:rRNA from 1 species